rnacentral:misc_RNA from 1 species
GAAGAGAUUUGGGAGUGCUCAAGAGAACCGGAACACAGGUGCUGCAUGGCUGUCGUCAGCUCGUGUCGUGAGAUGUUGGGUUAAGUCCCGCAACGAGCGCAACCCUUGUCAUUGGUUGCCACGAAAGGGCACUCUAAAUGAGACUGCCGGUGACAAACCGAGGAAGGUGGGAUACGCCAAGUCCUCAUGGCCCUUAUGGGUAGGGUUUCACACGUCAUACAAUGGUCGGGACAGAGGGUCGCCAACCCGCGAGGGGGAGCCAAUCCCAGAAACCCGAUCGAGUCCGAUCGUGAAGCCCGUAACUCGACUGCGUGAAGUCGGAAUCGCUAGUAAUCGCGGAUCAGCAUGUCGCGGUGAAUACGUUCCCGGGUCUUGUACACACCGCCUGUCACACCAUGGGAGUGGGUUUUACCAGAAGUAGUUAGCCUAACCGUAAGGAGGGCGAUUACCACGGUAGGAUUCAUGACUGGGGUGAAGUCGUAACAAGGUAG